rnacentral:rRNA from 1 species
UUAAGCGACUAAGCGUACACGGUGGAUGCCCUGGCAGUCAGAGGCGAUGAAGGACGUGCUAAUCUGCGAUAAGCGUCGGUAAGGUGAUAUGAACCGUUAUAACCGGCGAUUUCCGAAUGGGGAAACCCAGUGUGUUUCGACACACUAUCAUUAACUGAAUCCAUAGGUUAAUGAGGCGAACCGGGGGAACUGAAACAUCUAAGUACCCCGAGGAAAAGAAAUCAACCGAGAUUCCCCCAGUAGCGGCGAGCGAACGGGGAGCAGCCCAGAGCCUGAAUCAGUGUGUGUGUUAGUGGAAGCGUCUGGAAAGGCGCGCGAUACAGGGUGACAGCCCCGUACACAAAAAUGCACAUGCUGUGAGCUCGAUGAGUAGGGCGGGACACGUGGUAUCCUGUCUGAAUAUGGGGGGACCAUCCUCCAAGGCUAAAUACUCCUGACUGACCGAUAGUGAACCAGUACCGUGAGGGAAAGGCGAAAAGAACCCCGGCGAGGGGAGUGAAAAAGAACCUGAAACCGUGUACGUACAAGCAGUGGGAGCACGCUUAGGCGUGUGACUGCGUACCUUUUGUAUAAUGGGUCAGCGACUUAUAUUCUGUAGCAAGGUUAACCGAAUAGGGGAGCCGAAGGGAAACCGAGUCUUAACUGGGCGUUAAGUUGCAGGGUAUAGACCCGAAACCCGGUGAUCUAGCCAUGGGCAGGUUGAAGGUUGGGUAACACUAACUGGAGGACCGAACCGACUAAUGUUGAAAAAUUAGCGGAUGACUUGUGGCUGGGGGUGAAAGGCCAAUCAAACCGGGAGAUAGCUGGUUCUCCCCGAAAGCUAUUUAGGUAGCGCCUCGUGAAUUCAUCUCCGGGGGUAGAGCACUGUUUCGGCAAGGGGGUCAUCCCGACUUACCAACCCGAUGCAAACUGCGAAUACCGGAGAAUGUUAUCACGGGAGACACACGGCGGGUGCUAACGUCCGUCGUGAAGAGGGAAACAACCCAGACCGCCAGCUAAGGUCCCAAAGUCAUGGUUAAGUGGGAAACGAUGUGGGAAGGCCCAGACAGCCAGGAUGUUGGCUUAGAAGCAGCCAUCAUUUAAAGAAAGCGUAAUAGCUCACUGGUCGAGUCGGCCUGCGCGGAAGAUGUAACGGGGCUAAACCAUGCACCGAAGCUGCGGCAGCGACGCUUAUGCGUUGUUGGGUAGGGGAGCGUUCUGUAAGCCUGUGAAGGUGUGCUGUGAGGCAUGCUGGAGGUAUCAGAAGUGCGAAUGCUGACAUAAGUAACGAUAAAGCGGGUGAAAAGCCCGCUCGCCGGAAGACCAAGGGUUCCUGUCCAACGUUAAUCGGGGCAGGGUGAGUCGACCCCUAAGGCGAGGCCGAAAGGCGUAGUCGAUGGGAAACAGGUUAAUAUUCCUGUACUUGGUGUUACUGCGAAGGGGGGACGGAGAAGGCUAUGUUGGCCGGGCGACGGUUGUCCCGGUUUAAGCGUGUAGGCUGGUUUUCCAGGCAAAUCCGGAAAAUCAAGGCUGAGGCGUGAUGACGAGGCACUACGGUGCUGAAGCAACAAAUGCCCUGCUUCCAGGAAAAGCCUCUAAGCAUCAGGUAACAUCAAAUCGUACCCCAAACCGACACAGGUGGUCAGGUAGAGAAUACCAAGGCGCUUGAGAGAACUCGGGUGAAGGAACUAGGCAAAAUGGUGCCGUAACUUCGGGAGAAGGCACGCUGAUAUGUAGGUGAAGUCCCUCGCGGAUGGAGCUGAAAUCAGUCGAAGAUACCAGCUGGCUGCAACUGUUUAUUAAAAACACAGCACUGUGCAAACACGAAAGUGGACGUAUACGGUGUGACGCCUGCCCGGUGCCGGAAGGUUAAUUGAUGGGGUUAGCCGCAAGGCGAAGCUCUUGAUCGAAGCCCCGGUAAACGGCGGCCGUAACUAUAACGGUCCUAAGGUAGCGAAAUUCCUUGUCGGGUAAGUUCCGACCUGCACGAAUGGCGUAAUGAUGGCCAGGCUGUCUCCACCCGAGACUCAGUGAAAUUGAACUCGCUGUGAAGAUGCAGUGUACCCGCGGCAAGACGGAAAGACCCCGUGAACCUUUACUAUAGCUUGACACUGAACAUUGAGCCUUGAUGUGUAGGAUAGGUGGGAGGCUUAGAAGUGUGGACGCCAGUCUGCAUGGAGCCGACCUUGAAAUACCACCCUUUAAUGUUUGAUGUUCUAACGUUGACCCGUAAUCCGGGUUGCGGACAGUGUCUGGUGGGUAGUUUGACUGGGGCGGUCUCCUCCUAAAGAGUAACGGAGGAGCACGAAGGUUGGCUAAUCCUGGUCGGACAUCAGGAGGUUAGUGCAAUGGCAUAAGCCAGCUUGACUGCGAGCGUGACGGCGCGAGCAGGUGCGAAAGCAGGUCAUAGUGAUCCGGUGGUUCUGAAUGGAAGGGCCAUCGCUCAACGGAUAAAAGGUACUCCGGGGAUAACAGGCUGAUACCGCCCAAGAGUUCAUAUCGACGGCGGUGUUUGGCACCUCGAUGUCGGCUCAUCACAUCCUGGGGCUGAAGUAGGUCCCAAGGGUAUGGCUGUUCGCCAUUUAAAGUGGUACGCGAGCUGGGUUUAGAACGUCGUGAGACAGUUCGGUCCCUAUCUGCCGUGGGCGCUGGAGAACUGAGGGGGGCUGCUCCUAGUACGAGAGGACCGGAGUGGACGCAUCACUGGUGUUCGGGUUGUCAUGCCAAUGGCACUGCCCGGUAGCUAAAUGCGGAAGAGAUAAGUGCUGAAAGCAUCUAAGCACGAAACUUGCCCCGAGAUGAGUUCUCCCUGACUCCUUGAGAGUCCUGAAGGAACGUUGAAGACGACGACGUUGAUAGGCCGGGUGUGUAAGCGCAGCAAUGCGUUGAGCUAACCGGUACUAAUGAACCGUGAGGCUUAACCUU